CCAGCAGCCGCGGUAAUACAGAGGUGGCAAGCGUUGUUCGGUAUUAUUGGGCGUAAAGAGCACGUAGGUGGUUUUGUAAGUCAGGUGUGAAAGCCUUCUGUUCAAAGGAAGAACGGCAUCUGAAACUGCAGAUCUUGAGUGUAGGAGGGGAGAGUGGAACUUCUGGUGGAGCGGUGAAAUGCGUAGAUAUCAGAAGGAACGUCGGCGGCGAAAGCGACUCUCUGGCCUAUUACUGACACUGAGGUGCGAAAGUUAGGGGAGCAAACGGGAUUAGAUACCCCGGUAGUCCUAACCGUAAACGAUGGGCACUAAGUAGAGGGGUUUU
rnacentral:rRNA from 1 species